rnacentral:lncRNA from 10 species
GAAAGGGAAGAUUAACUUUAUGAAAACGGAGGCAGUUCAUCUAUAGUAAUAGCCAGGAAGGCAGAGGUCAUGGCACUGAUGCAGGUAGGUGGGUAACUGAAGUGAUGAGAGAGUCUGAAGAUGUUCUUACUUCAAUUUUCUUGGCAAAAUAGAAAGGUAUGUACAUACAUGCAUGUUCAUGUAUGUUUAUGUAAGCAAACACCAGGAGUCUAGUCUAUAGUAGCAUCUGGCUACUUAGGUGAGCAUGACAGUGAGGAGAGAGAUCCAUAAAGUGACUGCCUACAGAGCUGGCUGCACUCCAGGAAUCAGCCAUCAAAGACGGGGAAGGGUCCGACCAGGCAGGACAGAACACUUUCAGUGGUGAUCCUGCAUGGGAGGGACAGCAGCAAGCAACCCUUCUCUGUGAGGACUGACCCCUGGGAGUGAGUGGGCUGUGGAACUCAUCGCAAAAGGGUGGGAUCUUCAGGAGAACUCUGAAAUAUCAGUUUGAAUAUUAAAAGAGAAGUGUCCUUAUUUUGUUACCCAAAAUGACAAAUCAGAAUAUCUUGGUUAUACUUAUUUCCAUAUUCUCUGGGUAUUUUGAAGAUAACUGAAGUAUGUACUUAACACCUUAGCAAGUACCUGGGUUACGGUAAGUGUCUGGUAACUCACAGCCAUUGUGGUGAUGAUAAUAUCAUUGGAUGCCCAUUCAUCCACAAUGGUUGAUCCUGGGGGUGAGGGACUGUCUUAUUUUCCAUCAUAGCAUAGUCCCUGACACUUGAAAGGAAAGCAACA